rnacentral:rRNA from 1 species
UACGUAGGGGGCAAGCGUUGUCCGGAGUUACUGGGCGUAAAGCGCACGCAGGCGGUCUCUUAAGUUUGGAGUGACAGUUGGUGGCUUAACUGCCAAAGUGCUUCGAAAACUGAGAGACUUGAGGGCCUCAGAGGGACACGGAAUUCCGGGUGGAGUGGUGAAAUGCGUAGAGAUCCGGAGGAACACCAAAGGCGAAGGCAGUGUCCUGGGGAGUACCUGACGCUCAGGUGCGAAAGCCAGGGGAGCGAACGGG